rnacentral:rRNA from 1 species
CCUACGGGAGGCAGCAGUGGGGAAUUUUGGACAAUGGGGGCAACCCUGAUCCAGCCAUGCCGCGUGAGUGAAGAAGGCCUUCGGGUUGUAAAGCUCUUUCGCAAGGGAAGAAAACUUAUGAUCGAAUAAAUCAUGAGGUUGACGGUACCUUGAUAAGAAGCACCGGCUAACUACGUGCCAGCAGCCGCGGUAAUACGUAGGGUGCGAGCGUUAAU